UCUCUCUCUCAACUUUUUCUGUACCUGUUAAAUUUUCUGUCGGUGAAAAUCAUUCAUAGCCUGAUCGUAGUCUGAACUGUUCUCUUUUUUCAGGAGCCUUUACUUUAUCGUUGUUCAAUGACGAUUCGGUUGUGUCGUUUUCAGCCCAAUGCCAAAUCAAGGAAAACUAGUUUUUCAAGACUGGAUAUAUUUUGCAGUGCUUUGUCUUUUACUAUAAGUGAACCUCAGGUCACAAUGAUGAUGAGAUUAUUAAUUCUUGCAUUAUCUUUGCGACAAAAACCGCCUCCAUCAGAUGCUCAAGAAUGUUUACCAGAUAACGAAAAUAAAAACUUACGAAGUGGCUCCAGCAUUGAUGAAGGUGUUUCUGAUGGAGAGCUACAAUCAUGGAGUGGUUGGCUGUGGAGUUGGGUGCCUCAAAUUCUACCUCAAAAUGAUAUGGACGAGUCCUCUCACUCACCGCUUUUGGCUAAUUUUCACACAGAUUACAUCUUGGCAUUUACAUCGAUUCUCUCAGCUGUGUCAUCAAGUUGGAAAAUAAUGAGACUAGUAAGUCAUCCAAACGAGUAUAUCAACCGUGCCUACAAGUUUGGCUCAAUGGUAGUUUCUUCAACUUAAUCUCUGUAAAUACCAAUUGGUCAAACGCACAAUUUGGGGUCAGUCACAUUUCAAUCGAACCUGUCGGAGACU
rnacentral:lncRNA from 1 species